AUUAAACGCUGGCGGCAUGCCUUACACAUGCAAGUCGAACGGUAGCGCGGGGCAACCUGGCGACGAGUGGCGAACGGGUGAGUAAAGCAUCGGAACGUGCCCUGGAAUGGGGGAUAACGUAGCGAAAGUUACGCUAAUACCGCAUAUUCUGUGAGCAGGAAAGCAGAGGAUCGCAAGACCUUGCGUUCUGGGAGCGGCCGAUGUCGGAUUAGCUAGUUGGUGAGGUAAAGGCUCACCAAGGCGACGAUCCGCAGCUGGUCUGAGAGGAUGAUCAGCCACACCGGAACUGAGACACGGUCCGGACUCCUACGGGAGGCAGCAGUGGGGAAUAUUGCGCAAUGGGCGAAAGCCUGACGCAGCCAUACCGCGUGUGUGAAGAAGGCCUUCGGGUUG
rnacentral:rRNA from 1 species